AAAGAAAGAAAGAAAGAAAGAAAGAAAGAAAGAAAGAAAGAAAGAAAGAAAGAGAAAAAAUAGCUGUGUUUCUGCUUCUUUCGUUAUAAGAUAAAUUGUCCCGGAGACAACCUCUCCCACUAACUGUGUGUUAGCCAUGCAUUUUUAUCUGAAGAGCUGACACACUAGGCUCUCAACUGGUGUGGAAAGCAGCCUGUUACAGUGUGGGAUUCAUAAAAGGGCCUCUAUGGUGUGUGAAAGAAAAUCUGUGUGCUUAGGCAGGAAACUUUUUGAUCUACAGAAAAGCCAGAAGACAACUAGCACACCAGAGUAGGGGUGUUCCCGUCUCACUGAGCAGUAUAAACUAUGAAGAGAUUUUACAAAACCCGUCGGGACAAACAACAUACGAAUUCAUAAGACUGUCCAUCUCUGUAAGUAACGCGCUGUUAACAGUUACCCUUAAUGGUCACUCAGAAAACAUUUUACUCAACAAUAACGGGGAACACUUAAAGUGGACAUGAGAAGAGAAGAAAAUGACCAUAGGAGAAAAUCUUCUCAGGUAAAGAUGAAAAGCACACGUAUAAAGUGUAAUUAAUCUACACUAUUAAAGAGAAAAUUACUCUGUCUGUGUUUGGUGUGAGAAACUGUCCUUCCCUUUGUGAAGCUAGCUAUCAGAAUCUUCGCUGAUGGUUCCCUUCAAGAGUUUGCAGUAUUACUUGCCUUUGUCAACCUUUUGUUUGGUUUUGUGAUCAAUGCCCAGUGACCAUCCUUCCAAGGACAUAUGUAUAUAUUGAUCCAAACAACACAGGUAUGGAAUGACUGACUAGGAAGCUAGUCAGUCAAAAGAAAAAAAAUAUCUUUUAGUGGUUAUACCAUAUAAAA